ensembl:lncRNA
GUAAGAGUUCAUAUUUUCUGUUUCCUUGGAUGCUUUCCUACCAGGGCUGGCUCCUUAGUGUUGCACUAACAAAGCCCACUCCCAAGCACUAUUGCCUCACCAGCCUCAUUUGAGUGCUGGUUGUCAGAUAAUUAACCCGCCGCUGAUGAAUUCGUGCUGCUGGCAGAGAGGUCUUGGCACUCUCCUAGGCACCUGCUGUCAACAGGAGGUGGAGGAUGGAGAGAUUCUGCAACAUCCGUGCUACAGAGCAUGCAGCCCCCAGGGGCUGUGCCCUCCUGCUGAGGGGGCUGCUCUCAGAUGCCAGUAAUAAAUGGGUAUUUAUUUUAAAAAAAAGAGGUAGGGGGGAAGGAGAAGGGGGAAGGAGUAAGGGAAAAGGAAGGGAGAAGGGGGAAAGGCAAAAGCAAAGGAGAAAGGGAAGCGAAGGAAAAAGGAGAGGAAAGAAAAAAAGGGUAAAAGUGAAAAGAAAAAGAAAGGAAUAUCAGGAAAAAGGAAAAGAAAGGAAGGGGAAGGAAAGGAAAGGGGAAGAAAAAGAAAGGGGAAGAAAAGGAAAGGAAGGGGAAGGGAAGAAAAGGAAAGGAAGGGGAAGAGAAGGAAAGGAGAGGGAAGAGAAAGGGAAGGAAAGGAGAGGGGAAGGGAAAGGGAAGGAAAAGAAAAUGUCCUCAUGGCCUCCACCCAGGGCAAAUCAGCAUGUACAUCAGAGCUGUAGUUAUUCAUGUUGAACACUUGCAAGAGAAUAACAUUUUUUUCUUUUCUUUUCUUUUUCCCCAUAAACAAAUGAUAAAAAAAAUCCUGCAAGUGGAAUUUGUAGUGCUCCCUUUCCUGCAUCCCCAGCUGCCACAGGCGUUUGAAGAUUUCAGAUGGGGAAAUAAAUGAAUGGAUUUCUCCAAACCUCAUUCCUUGCACAAUCCUUUCACUCUUCAGGGGUACCGAAAUGAGCUCAGCCCAAGGGGCAUCUUGCUGAAUACAACAUAGCCAAAGCCUUUGAAGGAGUUGGCCUUGCAUGGCAUGUCAUCAGAUGGUGCUUUUAAUGAGUCAAG